UUGAAUGAGUCUUUAAGGAUUUCUCCAGAUCUCAAUUUAUCAGAUUCUGAGUCAAUAUGAAUUUCAUGAGUAAAUGUCUAUUAUAGAUGGAGAAUAAAUAAAAACCUUCCCUUUAAGCACCAGAGAACAAAUCAGGAACAAAGAAUCCCAAGGAUAGCUCCUUUUACUGUAAGAGGAAAAUUUCUCAGUUUUUACUGAAAAUCACCCUUAGUGGUUUUUAGUAUUGUUUGCAGUGGGGAUUUUCCACUGUAGCUAAAACACCUAAAACAAGAAGAGCUUGCGUGGUUGCUUUCUGGUCAGUUUGCAGAGAUGAGUGGAAAUUUUCAUAAAACAUAGCUCUGUAGAAGAGAGAAACACAGCAGUUGAGAUGAGUGGGAGAAACCAGAGUUGAGAGAGAUUAAGAGAUUCUUAGAAUCUGAAGGUAAAUUGAAAGCUUUGUGUGUAGAAAUAGUUUCAGAAAGAUGUAUGUACAUCGUCUCUGAGAUCUUAAACUCAUUUACAAGCUUAGAGUGUUCAAUUUCCUAUUUCAGGCCUCAUGUUUUCUAUAAAUCUGCAACCCAAACAUUUAAUCAUUUAUUUAGAAUUUCUACGUGGAAGUCUCAUAGUCAUUUCAAGCUGAAUAUGGCCCAAUCUAGUCUUUAGUUUCCUUCAUAGCCUGGCUCUCCUCAGGCUUUUCCAUCUCUGUAAACAUUACUACCAUCAACCCAGUUUCUAAAGCCAGAUGCCUGAGAGUCAUUCUCCAUUUCUCCUUUUCCAUCAUCUUCCACAUCCAAUUCAUCAGCAACUCCUGUCAACUCUCUCUCCAAAACAUGCCUCAUACCCUUCUGUUUUUCUCUAUCUUGAGAACUCCUACUCUAUCUAUACCAACAUCAUGUUGUGCCCAGACUUCUGCAAGAGCCUCCAGAUUGGUUUCAUCAUUUCCAGUCUUGCCCCUUUUCUGCAUCAUAACCAGAGGGAGCUUUGAAAAACUGAAAAUCAGUCACUUUGCUUAAAUCCAUUGUUCUAGGAAUACUAUGGCUUCGAUAAAUAUCCCCCAAAGGCUCAUGUUUUAAAGACUUGGUCUCCAGCUCAUGGAACUGCUGGAAAGUAGUGGAAGAGGAUAGAAGAGGUAUUCAUGUUACUGGGCUGUGUCUUUGAGGGGGUAUUAGAACCCUUUCCUCUACUUUGUGUCUCAGCUGUCAUGAGUUGAGCGGCUUGUCUCACCACGUGCUCGCUACUAGAAUGUGCUGUCUCAUCAAAAGUGCAAAAAUAAAGGACCAAUUUGCUAUGAACUGGAACCUUCCAAAGUGUAAGCCAGAAUAAAUCUUUUCUAAGUUGUUUAUCUUAGGUGCUUGCUAUAGUAACCGAAAUCUCACUAACACAUAGAAUAAAAACUGUGCUCUUAUCCGUGACCCACAAAUGCUUGCAUAGCCUUGUUUAUUCUCCUCCUGAUUUCCAAUUCCCAUUCUGUUUUGUAAUUCCCAGAAGGUCUAAAUUUUUAAGUCCCCAAAUUCACUCACUUAGGCCACAAGGCCUUUUUCUACUCUUCCUUCCACCUGAGAUAUGUUUUUCUAUUGAUCUGAUCUCAUUGUAUUUUGCUUCUUUUGCCAGUUCUAAGCAUACAUACUACUUCAUCAGAAAGACUUUUCUGUAACAUUCCUAUUAGCAAUAGCACCUUACUCUUAUUCUGUGUGAUAAUACCCUGUUAUUUUUCAUUUAGCAGUUAUUAUAGAUUCUUAUAAUUCUUCCCAGCUUGCUCCACUUGAGUAUGUGGUCUCAGCAGACAGAGACUUUGCAUUCUUUGUGGGAAAUGUACUUUCUACGAUAUGCCUGGCUCAUAAUAAAUUUUUGGUAAGUCUUUGUUGAAUGUAUGAAUAGAUGUGUGUGGGCAUGAACCUCAACUGAUAGGCAAUCCAAACAUUUUUGACUGUGACAAGAUCAUAAUAUGUAGAAUAAUGUCUUUAGAAGUAGUUACUUGAAGAUCAUUCUCAGUUGGAUAUAUUAGCUCUAAACCUUUAGAGAGUUUACUUGAGAAAAAAACACAUUUGUCUAUUAUUAGAGCUCUGUCUGUAAGGUAUCAGUGGAAUGUACAUGUAUAUAUGAUGCAAAAAGCCUUGCUCCUAUGGAUUUUACUAUAAUAGAGUCAUGUGUCACUUAAAGAUGUGCACCAAGAAGGCAGAUCCAUUCUUGGGACAGGAGUGCAAGGCAAUUUCAUCAUUGUGGAAACAUCAUAGAUGGCUAUGAGGUCACUUGGCGAUACGUGCAAUACAUUUGUUGACUGAAGCAUUGUGAUGUGGUGCAUGACUACUUAGCUGUUCAGUUGGUAUCUUUAAAUCUCCAGUGUGUGUUCUGAGAGUCUUGAACUAAUGAGAUCCUGGUAAACAGCCUGAAAUGGACUUUGCAGAUUCUACAUAAAGCAUCAACUGAUUUUCUCAGCACACAUUAUCAAAUUCCCUUCCCAUUUAAAGUUUGCUUUUUAUCAGAUGUAACCCUUUCCUGAGCCUGUGUUGUGAAUAUUUACAAAUGAUGCAGUCUGAUUCUUCAAAUACACAGGAGAGAGAUACAAGGCCACUCUGUGUGUUUACAUAACAUGUUUCUUUCCUGAAAAUGUAGUGUUAAUAGGGAUUGGGCCCUUAAAAGAAGGCUGUACACCAAGAAGACCCAAACAGAAUAGAGCCAGCCCAAUAUAUGUACAGAGCUUGAGAUAAAAACACAAGAAAUAUAAAAAGGCAACCUGACUCCUUCAAGCUUCAUAUCCCUUCAGCAGCUAAAUCCAAAGAUACUUAAAUGGAUGAAAAGACGAAGAAUUCAUAAUAUUGAUUUUUAAAAUAAAUUACUUGAAAUAGGAUGAAAUUAAGCAUUUGAGUGAAUUAAGGAAGAUUUUGAAAGCUAUAAAAGAAUUAUUGAACAAGGAGACAGAGAUUCUGAAGAGAAUCAAACAGAAAUCUUGGAAAUGAAAAACACAGGAAGUCAAAAAACAAUUUUUCAGAAAGCCUCAGCAGUAGACUGGAUGAAGCAGAAGACAGAACUUCGGGGUUUGAAGACAAAGUUCAAGAAUUACUUCUCUGAGAUACUAGAAAUGGAAACAGACAAAAAAUAAAUUAUGAACAAAAUAUCCAAGAACUCUGAGACAUAUAAAAAUAAAACUUACAAAUUUUUAGUACAAAGGAGGAGUUUGAGGUACAGAUUAAAGGCAUAGAACCCAGUGGAAAAUAGCAGAAAACUAUGGCCAUCCAGGUACAGGAGGCAUUUAGAUCCCCAAACCAAGUAUCACCAGAAAAGAAUCUCCAAAUAUCAUAUUAUAAUUAAAAUUCCAGGAGUUCAGAACAAGGAAAAAGGAUUGAAAGCUACAAGAGAGAAAUGCCAAGUCACUUGCUCUGUAGACAAAUGCAUCAGAAUAACUGCAGGUUUCUCAGCAGAAACUCUAAAGACCAAGCAGGCAUGAGAUGAUGUGUUUCAAGACCUAAAAAAAAAAUAACUGCCAACCUAAAUGGCUAUGUAUAGCAUAUCUAUCCUUCAGAAUCUAAAGAGAAAUAAAGAUCUUCCAUGAAAAGCAUAAACUAAAGAAAUUCAUGACCACUAAACCAGCAUUACAGAAGAUAUUUAAAGUAAUCUUACAUAUUGAAGAGGAAGAAAGAUAAGCAACUGAGAAUUAGGAAAAAAACCUAACAUUAGAAAAACAACAAAAUGAGAGGAAUUAGUAGACACCUUUCAAAAAUAAUCCUAAAGGUAAAUGGUCUUAAUUCUCCAAUAAAAAGUAAACCACUGGAUGGCAGAUGUAUUAAAAAUCAAGAUUUACCUCUUUCUUGCCUGAAAGAAUUACACUUCAAUGCCAAAGACUGUAAAUGAAAAGAAUAAAAUGAUAUUCCAGGAAAAUGGAUUUCAAAAUCAAGCAGGAGUAGUGAUACUCAUAUGUGAUGAAGCUACCUUCAUUACACAAUGCAAUGAUGCAUCUCAAGUUAUGAGAAAAAUGAGAGCAAACAAAAUCCAAACUCAAUAGAAGGAAAGAAAUAAUAAAGGCCAAAGGUAAAUUAAUAAAAAAGACUGAAAGAACAAUAUAAAGGAUCUAUGAAACAGAGAUGGUUCUUUGCAAAAAUAAAGAAGACCAACUCACCCUCAGCCAAACUAACAAAAAGAGAGUGAGAAGACCAGGAUCAAUACAAUUAGUGGUACAAAGUGGAAACUGCAGCAAACAGAACUGAAUCCAGAGAACUGUUGAGGACUCUUUUAAAUCAUAUAUUUCAAUAAAUUGGAGAUCUGGAAGAAAUGGAUAAAUUGGAAAA